rnacentral:rRNA from 5 species
GUCUCUUUGAAGAUUUAAUAAUAAAGAGUUUGGCCUGCUCAGUGAGAUUUUUAACAGCUGCGGUAUUAUAACUGUACUAAGGUAGCAUAAUAAUUUGCCUUAUAAAUUGAGGCUAGAAUGAAUGGUUUGACGAAAAUUGUACUGUCUCUAUUUUAAUUAAUAGAAAUUAAUUUUUAUAGUGAAAAAGCUUAAAUAGUUUAAAGGGACGAGAAGACCCUAUUGAGCUUUAUAUUAGUUAUAAUAAAAUAUAAUUUAUUAAAUUAAAUUAAUGUUGUUAUUAUGUUUAAUUUUGAUUGGGGUGAUCAAGGAAUAAGAUAGAUGUUAUUUAACUUCCUUAAAAGAAAAUUUUUUUAGAAUAAUUAACCAAUGAUAUUGCUUAUAUGAUAAGUUACCAUAGGGAUAACAGCGUAAUUUUUUUGGAGAGUUCAUAUUAAAAAAAGAGAUUGCGACCUCGAUGUUGGAUUAAAAUAACCAUAAGGUGAAGAGGCUUUAUAUGGUAAAUCUGUUCGAUUUUUAAAAUUUU